rnacentral:rRNA from 1 species
CCUACGGGAGGCUGCAGUGGGGAAUAUUGGGCAAUGGACGCAAGUCUGACCCAGCAACGCCGCGUGAAGGAAGAAGGCUUUCGGGUUGUAAACUUCUUUUAAGGGGGAAGAGCAGAAGACGGUACCCCUUGAAUAAGCCACGGCUAACUACGUGCCAGCAGCCGCGGUAAUACGUAGGUGGCAAGCGUUGUCCGGAUUUACUGGGUGUAAAGGGAGCGUAGGCGGUUUAGCAAGUCAGAAGUGAAAGCCCGGGGCUCAACUCCGGGACUGCUUUUGAAACUGUUGAACUAGAUUGCAGGAGAGGUAAGUGGAAUUCCUAGUGUAGCGGUGAAAUGCGUAGAUAUUAGGAGGAACACCAGUGGCGAAGGCGGCUUACUGGACUGUAAAUGACGCUGAGGCUCGAAAGCGUGGGGAGCAAACAGGAUUAGAUACCCGGGUAGUC